UGAAUCUAGAUAAUAUCAUAUGAGCCUCUUCAAAACAGCACAGUGUUCAACUGCCGAGAGAAUUGACUGCUGGACCGAACAAGAUUGUGUUCUGCAUGAUUAAGUGGCCUGAAACAAACCAGGAUAUUUUAGGAUCCCCAUAUGAAGUGUAUGAUGAAAGACUGGUUGGCCUGAGUGUGGAGGGCAAGAACAUAUUGGGACUACAGGAGGGUGUCAAUAUCACCAUGAACCUUACCAAGGAAAUAAAUGAAACUGAAGAACCCUCAUGUCAGUUCUUUAACUUCUCAACAAACAAUUUUAGUGAGGAUGGAUGCAUUACACUGUGGACAUGUGGCCAGAGUAAUGUCACCUGUUCCUGUGACCAUCUCACAUACUUUGC